rnacentral:rRNA from 1 species
GGUCCCACCUGAUCCCAUGCCGAACUCAGAAGUGAAACGCCGUAGCGCCGAUGGUAGUGUGGGGUCUCCCCAUGCGAGAGUAGGGAACUGCCAGGCA